GAUUUCUGGUACGGUGCGCCUAGCCCGUGGGGGUAACUCCACGAGUGCUGGUGUGCGUCUGCCAUCCUUCUAGAAAACUGUACUACCCUUCAUUGGGCCGGUACUGGGAUCUAGAUCUUUUACUUUGAAAAAAUUAGAGUGUUUAAAGCAGGCUUGCGCUAUGAAUACAUUAGCAUGGAAUAAUAAUUUAGGACUUCGGUUCUAUUUUGUUGGUUUCUAGGACUGAAGUAAUGAUUGAUAGGGAUAGUUGGGGGUGCUAGUAUUCAGCGGCCAGAGGUGAAAUUCUCGGAUUCGCUGAAGACUAACUUAUGCGAAAGCAUU
rnacentral:rRNA from 1 species